UAGGGAAUAUUAGAAAUGGACGAAAGUCUGAUCUAGCAACACCGCGUGUGCGAAGAAGGCCUUCGGGUCGUAAAGCACUUUUUGGAAGGAAUAGGAAGGAAUGUACUUCCAGAAUAAGUCUCGGCUAACUACGUGCCAGCAGCCGCGGUAACACGUAGGAGGCAAACGUUAUCCGGAUUUGCUGGGCGUAAAGCGCGUGUAGGUGGUACUGUAAGUAGGGCGUGAAAGCUCCUGGCUCAACUGGGAGAGGCCGUUCUAAACUACAGAACUAGAGGAUGGUAGAGGGAGGUGGAAUUCCAGGUGUAGCGGUGGAAUGCGCAGAUAUCUGGAGGAACACCGGUAGCGAAGGCGGCCUCCUGGACCAUUCCUGACACUCGGACGCGAAAGCUAGGGUAGC
rnacentral:rRNA from 1 species